rnacentral:rRNA from 1 species
UGCAGCAUGCCGCGUGCGGGAGGACGCCCUUCGGGGUGUAAACCGCUUUACUAGGGGACGAGACAGGACGGUACCCUAGCAACAAGUCACGGCUAACUACGUGCCAGCAGCCGCGGUAAGACGUAGGUGGCAAACGUUAUCCGGAAUUACUGGGCGUAAAGGGUCCGUAGGCGGCUGCGCAAGUCGGACGUGAAAGCUCCCGGCUCAACUGGGAGAGGCCGUUCGAUACUGUGUAGCUGGAAUCUGGCAGAGGUCGGUGGAAUUCCUGGUGUAGUGGUGGAAUGCGUAGAGAUCAGGAGGAACGCCAAAAGCGCAAGCAGCCGGCUGGGUCAAGAUUGACGCUGAGGGACGAAAGCGUGGGGAGCGAACAGGAUUAGAUACCCUGGUAGUCCACGCCGUAAACGCUGUGUACUAGCCAUCUGGCCUGUGAUGGGUUGGGUGGCGCAGCUAACGCGUGAAGUACACCGCCUGGGGAGUACGGCCGCAAGGCUAAAACUCAAAG